AGGCUUAACGAACUGUUUAAGAAAGAGGCUUAACUGAUUAAGAAAGGAGCAGUUUGGUGGAUUGAAUCAGCGUAGGCAACAUUACUACUUCGUUAAAAUUGUGCUAUACCGAAAAAUUAUACGUUUAUUUUAUAAAAUUGAUGACGACAUAUCAAAAAAACUGAUUUUUUUUUAAAAAGAGCAUCGCAUUUAAACUUUGCUUUUCGUGGUCUUUCUAAGAAAUAUAUAUGUGUAAUAACCUGAAAAACAAAAAUAAGUACUUAACGUUAUAAUUAUAUAAUACCGGAAACGUGUACAGCGAAGAGGUUUAGGGUAUUUAUCAGUUCAUUCGUAAAGAACAGGCAAAUACUGGAACAUUAAUAAUGAACAGAUAAUGAAACUUUUUUUUUGAAAAAAAGGCGAUAAUUUAACGUUAAUAGCAAAGUUAGGUACAUUAAGUAUCAUAGGACACUACGAACAGUAAUGUAAUGUGACACUGAGAAUGCGAACAAAAUGGAACCUUCAGAAUAGGAACAGAAUAGAACGUAUAUUACGGAACUUCAAAAUAGUUUGAUAAAAACAAAACUUAGAAAUAGGCAGAUAAUGAAACGUUAGGAAUGAGAAAAUAAAGAAACUAAAACAAAACUAUAAAUAGGCAGAUAAUGAAACGUUAGGAAUGAGAAAAUAAAGAAACUAAAACAAAACUUAGAAAUAGGCAGAUAAUGAAACGUUAGGAAUGAGAAAAUAAAGAAACUAAAACAAAACUUAGAAAUAGGCAGAUAAUGAAACGUUAGGAAUGAGAAAAUAAAGAAACUAAAACAAAACGGAUAAUGAAACAUGAAAAAUAGAUAGCUAAUGUAACGUUAAGAACAGGUAGAUAUUGGAACGUUAAGAACAGGUAAAUAUUGGAACGUUAAAAACAGGUAGAUAUUGGAACGUUAAGAACAGGUAGAUAUUGGAACGUUAAAAACAGGUAAAUAUUGGAACGUUAAGAACAGGUAGAUAUUGGAACGUUAAGAUCAGGUAGAUAUAGGAACGUUAAGAACAGGUAGAUAUUGGAACGUUAAGAACAGGUAGAUAUUGGAACGUUAAGAACAGGUAAAUAUUGGAACGUUAAGAA